CAGAAGUUAGAGGCCAUCCUUGACAACAUAGUGAGUUCCAGAGAGUGAAGGAGUGAGCUCGCCAAGCACAACCAGCAGGGAUGAAAGGCUAACUCAGUGAACAACAGAAAGACAGACGGACUUCUGAACAGACACACCGACCAGCAGAAACCACUGGGGAAAGCAACAGUCAGCCAGUGCGACUGACUUAGAGUCCCAAACAGCUAUCUUCUUCUGGAUCUGCCGUGUGCCCUGGGCCUCUAGCUAGAGGCCAGGAGAGAGGGACAAAAUCCUAUGGAGCUGGAGUUUGAGCCACCUGGCAUAGGUGCUAGAAAUUGAACUCAGACAGACUCUCUGGAAGAGAAGUGUAUUCUCUUAAUUGUUGAGCCAUCUCUUCAGCCCCCACCCACCACCACCACAGGGACAACAAAGAGAGGUGGCUCAGCAUGCAAGCAUGGGGAUUGGAGUCUCAAAACUUCGAGAAUCCACCUAAACCUGAGUGUGGUGGUGCAUGGCUCUAAUCCCUGUUUACAGACAGAUUCAAGAAUGGAAUAAGUUUUGCUAAGACUGCCACAUGUACAAGGAAAACUAUGGACCCCAGGUUGCCUCCCUGCCCUCUAGUCACAUGAGAAUGGCGUGAUAUGAUACUUACAUGAUCAGGUAAAACUGAUCUAAGGAUUGUGACUUUUUAGGUAAAACUGCUGUUAUGCUUUUCAUUGCGUUUUUAUGCAUUUAUUUGUAUAUGGGCAUGACAACGGCUGAGUGCUCGCUAUGGUGCAUAUAUGGCGAUCAGAGGACAAACUGGUGGGAGUUGGCUCUUUCCUUCUGCAUGUGAGUCUUGGGGAGCAAGCUCAGGUCAUCAGGCUUGGAGACAAGCCCUCUACUCACUGAGCCUUCUCAGCAGCCCUGCGCUUUUUGGCCUGAGUCACAGAUAUUUCCAGAAUUGGUUGUUAAUGAAGCUAUGAAAAAUCCCUUUUAGGCUGAAUACAUCUUGUAGCUUGGGCACUUUGUGGCUUCCUGAAUCUUGAGUCUUACCAUGGUCUCAAGACGCCCAAUAACUUCAAAAGUAUACUGUAUGGUGUUGCCUGUCAUGUCGGAUAGCACCUCACUGAUGGGCUUGGUAGAGUCCUUGGGACUGAUACACUCUGUGGCACCUACGGCCAGAGCUUUCUGGAAUUUGUCUUUGUUGAUGUCGAUUCCAAUGAUCCUGGAGGCACCAGCUGCUUUACAGCCCAUGAUGACUGACAGGCCAACUCCUCCCAGGCCAAAGACAACACAAGUGGAGCCAGGGGUGACCUGUGGAGAGAAAGGAGUUAACAGCGAAACCGGCAAAGCAUUCUCAGUGUCCGGAGCACAGACUUGACGUGGCCAUGACGUGGGCCAGAUGAAUGAGGGUGACACAGGAAGACUCACAAGUGGAAGGAUGACUGAGAAAAGAAGUACUGGCCAAAGCCCAGCAGUAUUUGCCAGAUGAACAGAAGGUUUUCCUAAAGGCUUAGCCAUAGACCAGAAACCUUUGUACCCUGCCUGGCCCUACCCCCAACCCCCUCUGCUCUUACAGGAGGCUUAGACAAACACUGAGGCCGCCCUAUUGUCUUUCCCACAAAGCCCGCUGCUUUGUUUUAGGUUUGGUCUGAAGGACAGCACUGAAUAACCCUGACUCUGAGUCAUUUUGAGAUAUAUUGUCUUUUUUUGAAUCCUGCCAAGUUCAACUUCCAUGCCACAUGCAAUUCAAUGGUUGAUAAAAGUUAUCAUACUUAAACCAACUUUGGGCUUUGUACCCGGCACUGUGCUAGAUUAAAGAAGGAUUCAGCCCGUGGUGAUUUUCUUGCUAGAAGAAUAACAAAGAUUGGAUCCAAGUGCAUAUUUAAAAUCUCACUAGCAUUUUCAUGUGACAUGGCACCUGUGCUUGUCUUCCCUGUAUCCUCCAACCCACGUGGUGAAACAUGAACCUUUUGUACCUCAACAUCUGGUUUUGUUUGAAGAAUGUCUUUGCAGAGGCCAUUGAGCUACAAUGAUGUGACUGAGAAAAGCUUAGCUGUGGUUUGGAUGAAGUUAGAGCUGUCUGUCAUGGGCUUGUGUGCUGGGGACUUUGUAUGCAGAGUAACCGACCGCCCCGUGUAAGAGGCCGUGAAACCUGUGUAGCCUAAGGGUGGGUAAGCGGGGUGUUGAAGGUGCUGGCCUCAGUGGGGAGUCAUUCGUGGUUAGUUUCCUGGUGAGUGGGCUGUGGUAAGAUGAGGUCACACGUUGUGCUGUGCAUGCUGCCUCCUGUCUCAGCGCCUACGCUGCGAGGGAGCUUGGAGGGGUCCCUAGCCAAAGGCUGAACACAUGGAACCACGUGGUCUUCAAAACUGCGAGCCAAAUAAACCAGCUUUCUUUACCCAUGUUCAGACGUGCUGUUGUAACAACAUAAAACCGACUAGCACAUCCCUGACUCAAUGUGACUGGUGUUCUCACAGCACAAAAUGGAACUUAGAUAUUGUUGUGUUUUAUAAAAAGAAAAAGAAGUCAGGGAUGUGUUUGGAGGGGUUGCGGUGUGAUGUGGGGGAAGGGGGUGCCUCUGCAGGGCCCAUGCUGAGGUAUCCCUUCCCCCUGAGGGACCAGCCAUACAACGGUAUAGUAUAGAAGAGAGAAAGAGUGAGAGAGCGAGAGCGAGAGCAAGAGAGAGAGAGAGAGAGAGAGAGAGGAGGAAUAGAGUCCAGUCAUGAGCACGUGCAGAGAGAGGGGGAGGGGAAUGGAGGGCGGAAAUGGGGGAGGUAGUAGGAGCUAGGGGCGAAGUGAGAGUAGGGGACAAGCAGACCCUUUUAAAGUGAGUCAGGCAUAGCCAGCUGUUGCCAGGUAACUGUGGGGCGGAGCCUAGAAGGAAUGCCAACAGAUAUAAAGAUACAGUAAGGAAAAUGAUGUGAAAUGACUGGGCUAUUCGCAUCCAUGUAUACGGCAAGAAGAGAGGCCUGAAGCAGGUCCUCCCCCAGCAGCCGGAAGGAACCAACCGUGCCA
rnacentral:lncRNA from 1 species